rnacentral:rRNA from 1 species
CUACGUGCCAGCAGCCGCGGUAAUACGUAUGUCGCGAGCGUUAUCCGGAAUUAUUGGGCAUAAAGGGCAUCUAGGCGGCCGGGUAAGUCCGGGGUGAAAACUGCUGGCUCAACCAGCAGCCUGCCUUGGAAACUACCCGGCUUGAGUGCUGGAGAGGUGGACGGAACUGCACGAGUAGAGGUGAAAUUCGUAGAUAUGUGCAGGAAUGCCGAUGAUGAAGAUAGUUCACUGGACGGCAACUGACGCUGAAGUGCGAAAGCUAGGGGAGCGAACAGGAUUAGAUACCCUGGUAGUCCUAGCUGUAAACGAUGAUUACUGGGUGUGGGCAUGAAGAGUGUUCGUGCCGAAGCUAAUGCGAUAAGUAAUCCGCCUGGGGAGUACGGCCGCAAGGCUGAAACUCAAAGGAAUUGACGGGGACCCGCACAAGCGGUGGAGCAUGUGGUUUAAUUCGACGCAACGCGGGGAACCUUACCAGAUCUUGACAUCC